GACGAACGCUGGCGGCGUGCUUAACACAUGCAAGUCGAACGGAAAGGCCCUGCUUUUGUGGGGUGCUCGAGUGGCGAACGGGUGAGUAACACGUGAGUAACCUGCCCUUGACUUUGGGAUAACUUCAGGAAACUGGGGCUAAUACCGGAUAGGAGCUCCUGCUGCAUGGUGGGGGUUGGAAAGUUUCGGCGGUUGGGGAUGGACUCGCGGCUUAUCAGCUUGUUGGUGGGGUAGUGGCUUACCAAGGCUUUGACGGGUAGCCGGCCUGAGAGGGUGACCGGCCACAUUGGGACUGAGAUACGGCCCAGACUCCUACGGGAGGCAGCAGUGGGGAAUAUUGCACAAUGGGCGGAAGCCUGAUGCAGCAACGCCGCGUGCGGGAUGACGGCCUUCGGGUUGUAAACCGCUUUCGCCUGUGACGAAGCGUGAGUGACGGUAAUGGGUAAAGAAGCACCGGCUAACUACGUGCCAGCAGCCGCGGUGAUACGUAGGGUGCGAGCGUUGUCCGGAUUUAUUGGGCGUAAAGGGCUCGUAGGUGGUUGAUCGCGUCGGAAGUGUAAUCUUGGGGCUUAACCCUGAGCGUGCUUUCGAUACGGGUUGACUUGAGGAAGGUAGGGGAGAAUGGAAUUCCUGGUGGAGCGGUGGAAUGCGCAGAUAUCAGGAGGAACACCAGUGGCGAAGGCGGUUCUCUGGGCCUUUCCUGACGCUGAGGAGCGAAAGCGUGGGGAGCGAACAGGCCUAGAUACCCUGGUAGUCCACGCUGUAAACGGUGGGUACUAGGUGUGGGGUCCAUUCCACGGGUUCCGUGCCGUAGCUAACGCUUUAAGUACCCCGCCUGGGGAGUACGGCCGCAAGGCUAAAACUCAAAGGAAUUGACGGGGCCCCGCGCAAGCGGCGGAGCAUGCGGAUUAAUUCGAUGCAACGCGUAGAACCUUACCUGGGUUUGACAUGGAUCGGGAGUGCUCAGAGAUGGGUGUGCCUCUUUUGGGGUCGGUUCACAGGUGGUGCAUGGCUGUCGUCAGCUCGUGUCGUGAGAUGUUGGGUUAAGUCCCGCAACGAGCGCAACCCUUGUUCACUGUUGCCAGCACGUUAUGGUGGGGACUCAGUGGAGACCGCCGGGGUCAACUCGGAGGAAGGUGGGGAUGACGUCAAGUCAUCAUGCCCCUUAUGUCCAGGGCUUCACGCAUGCUACAAUGGCUGGUACAGAGAGUGGCGAGCCUGUGAGGAUGAGCGAAUCUCGGAAAGCCGGUCUCAGUUCGGAUUGGGGUCUGCAACUCGACCUCAUGAAGUCGGAGUCGCUAGUAAUCGCAGAUCAGCAACGCUGCGGUGAAUACGUUCCCGGG
rnacentral:rRNA from 1 species